rnacentral:rRNA from 1 species
UACAAGUACCCGUGAGGGAAAGUUGCAAAGAACUUUGAAGAGAGAGUUCAACAGGACGUGAAACCACUGACAGGCAAACGGGUGGAACCACGAAGUACUGCCUGGUCGGCAAUUCAGCUGUCAGCGAGCGUUUGUGCUGCCCGUAGCCUCGGGUCACCUUCGGGUGGCCAUGCGGGUGGCAUGUGCAACGACCGCUGGCAGUGCAUUUUGACGGCCAGUGCUAAAGCCACGUCCGAUUAGGUGGCUGGAAUGGCCGUAGUGGGUGACGCCAGGAAGGUAGCUGUCCGGGGCCUCGUGCACCGGUGCAGUGUUAUAGCCUGGCGUCCGUGCCAUUACCUAGCGUGCUGAUCGGUGAAAGAACUCCAUUCUUGGAGUGUUGCCAGUAAAGGGCCGUCGCGCCUUCUGCUGCUAUGGCUGCUGUGCGAUUUUGCGCUUUUGUGUCUUCGGGCGCAACAAGACGGAGUCGUAUUGGCGGUCAUUGGCGGCAAUUACGCGGGCGGCUUGUGCAAACGGUGGUGCGAGUAGGUCGGUCUCCACCCGACCCGUCUUGAAACACGGACCAAGGAGCCUAACACGUACGCAAGUCGCACGGUCUUGUUCAGGCCUGUGAGGCGCAAUGAAGAUAAACUGCUAUGAAGCUGCCUCUUGACGGGGGCAGCCACAGUAGCGGCCUGCCUACUUUCUCUAUUCGGGGAUAUGGUGGAGCUGGAGCGUAUGCGUUGGUACCCGAAAGAUGGUGAACUAUGCCUGGGCAAGACGAAGCCAGAGGAAACUCUGGUGGAGGUCUGUAGCGAUUCUGACGUGCAAAUCGAUCGUCAGACCUGGGUAUAGGGGCGAAAGACUAAUCGAACCAUC